GGGCCCGCACAAGCGGAGGAACAUGUGGUUUAAUUCGAUGAUACGCGAGGAACCUUACCCGGGCUUGAAAUGUACCUGACCGGCCGGGAAACCGGUCUUCCAGCAAUGGCAGGUAUGUAGGUGCUGCAUGGUUGUCGUCAGCUCGUGCCGUGAGGUGUCGGCUUAAGUGCCAUAACGAGCGCAACCCCUAUUGUUAGUUACUAACAGGUAAAGCUGAGGACUCUGACAAGACUGCCAGCGUAAGCUGCGAGGAAGGUGGGGAUGACGUCAAAUCAGCACGGGCCCUUACGUCCGGGGGCGACACACGUGUUACAAUGGGGGGUACAGAGGGGCAGCUACCUGGCGACAGGAUGCCAAUCCAUUAAAGCCUCUCCCAGUUCGGAUCGGAGUCUGCAACCCGACUUCGUGAAGCUGGAUUCGCUAGUAAUCGCGCAUCAGCCAUGGCGCGGUGAAUACGUU
rnacentral:rRNA from 1 species